GUCGAGCGGUAGCACAGAGAGCUUGCUCUCGGGUGACGAGCGGCGGACGGGUGAGUAAUGUCUGGGAAACUGCCUGAUGGAGGGGGAUAACUACUGGAAACGGUAGCUAAUACCGCAUAACGUCGCAAGACCAAAGUGGGGGACCUUCGGGCCUCAUGCCAUCAGAUGUGCCCAGAUGGGAUUAGCUAGUAGGUGGGGUAAUGGCUCACCUAGGCGACGAUCCCUAGCUGGUCUGAGAGGAUGACCAGCCACACUGGAACUGAGACACGGUCCAGACUCCUACGGGAGGCAGCAGUGGGGAAUAUUGCACAAUGGGCGCAAGCCUGAUGCAGCCAUGCCGCGUGUAUGAAGAAGGCCUUCGGGUUGUAAAGUACUUUCAGCGAGGAGGAAGGCGUUAAGGUUAAUAACCUUGGCGAUUGACGUUACUCGCAGAAGAAGCACCGGCUAACUCCGUGCCAGCAGCCGCGGUAAUACGGAGGGUGCAAGCGUUAAUCGGAAUUACUGGGCGUAAAGCGCACGCAGGCGGUCUGUCAAGUCGGAUGUGAAAUCCCCGGGCUCAACCUGGGAACUGCAUUCGAAACUGGCAGGCUAGAGUCUUGUAGAGGGGGGUAGAAUUCCAGGUGUAGCGGUGAAAUGCGUAAAGAUCUGGAGGAAUACCGGUGGCGAAGGCGGCCCCCUGGACAAAGACUGACNCUCAGGUGCNAAAGCGUGGGGAGCAAACAGGAUUAGAUGCCCUGGUAGNCCCNCCGNAACGAUGUCGACUUGGAGGUUGUGCCCUUGAGGAANAGCUUCCGGAGCUAACGCGUUAAGUCGACCGCCUGGGGAGUACGGCCGCAAGGUUAAAACUCAAAUGAAUUGACGGGGGCCCGCACAAGCGGUGGAGCAUGUGGUUUAAUUCGAUGCAACGCGAAGAACCUUACCUACUCUUGACAUCCAGAGAACUUAGCAGAGAUGCUUUGGUGCCUUCGGGAACUCUGAGACAGGUGCUGCAUGGCUGUCGUCAGCUCGUGUUGUGAAAUGUUGGGUUAAGUCCCGCAACGAGCGCAACCCUUAUCCUUUGUUGCCAGCGGUCCGGCCGGGAACUCAAAGGAGACUGCCAGUGAUAAACUGGAGGAAGGUGGGGAUGACGUCAAGUCAUCAUGGCCCUUACGAGUAGGGCUACACACGUGCUACAAUGGCAUAUACAAAGAGAAGCGACCUCGCGAGAGCAAGCGGACCUCAUAAAGUAUGUCGUAGUCCGGAUUGGAGUCUGCAACUCGACUCCAUGAAGUCGGAAUCGCUAGUAAUCGUAGAUCAGAAUGCUACGGUGAAUACGUUCCCGGGCCUUGUACACACCGCCCGUCACACCAUGGGAGUGGGUUGCAAAAGAAGUAGGUAGCUUAACCUUCGGGAGG
rnacentral:rRNA from 1 species